CACGUAGGGGACGAGCGUUGUCCGGAUUCAUUGGGCGUAAAGCGCGCGUAGGCGGCUCGGAAAGUCGGGCGUGAAAACCUGCAGCUUAACUGUGGGCUUGCGGUCGAUACGGGCAUCACUGGAGUUCGGCAGGGGAGACUGGAAUUCCCGGUGUAGCGGUGAAAUGCGCAGAUAUCGGGAGGAACACCAAUGGCGAAGGCAGCUCGCUGGGACGUUACUGACGCUGAGACGCGAAAGCGUGGGGAGCAAACAGG
rnacentral:rRNA from 1 species